UAGGGAAUCUUCGGCAAUGGACGAAAGUCUGACCGAGCAACGCCGCGUGAGUGAAGAAGGUUUUCGGAUCGUAAAACUCUGUUGGUAGAGAAGAACGUUGGUGAGAGUGGAAAGCUCAUCAAGUGACGGUAACUACCCAGAAAGGGACGGCUAACUACGUGCCAGCAGCCGCGGUAAUACGUAGGUCCCGAGCGUUGUCCGGAUUUAUUGGGCGUAAAGCGAGCGCAGGUGGUUUAUUAAGUCUGGUGUAAAAGGCAGUGGCUCAACCAUUGUAUGCAUUGGAAACUGGUAGACUUGAGUGCAGGAGAGGAGAGUGGAAUUCCAUGUGUAGCGGUGAAAUGCGUAGAUAUAUGGAGGAACACCGGUGGCGAAAGCGGCUCUCUGGCCUGUAACUGACACUGAGGCUCGAAAGCGUGGGGAGCAAACAGGAUUAGAUACCCUGGUAGUCCACGCCGUAAACGAUGAGUGCUAGAUGUAGGGAGCUAUAAGUUCUCUGUAUCGCAGCUAACGCAAUAAGCACUCCGCCUGGGGGGUACGACCGCAAGGUUGAAAC
rnacentral:rRNA from 1 species